rnacentral:lncRNA from 1 species
CCUCUUCUCCUCAACACAUUAUCUUCCUCUUCUUUUCUUCUUCCUCUUCACAACCCCAAAAUCUUUGUGGGUUUUGAUUUCCAAUUUCAGCUCACAAAAUCAAUGUUACAAUUCGUUUUUCAUUUUCGAAUAAAUUCUUACAUGGUUGCUAAUCGUUCAUGACAAUGUGUUUUGUGGUAGAGAGGGUUUUCUGUUUCUAGAAGCUUCUAUCAGAGUUUUUGUUGACAGUGUUGAAAUUAGAAAGGGGAUCAUAGUGGAGUUAAUGAAGGGAGAUAGGGUCUUGCUUGCUUGGCCAUCCAACACAGUCUGAGCCUCAUUAACACAUGGUUAUAAACUGGCUGCAAUUUGUACUACAGUUGAUUACAAUACACACCCUCCUGAUAAAAUUUAUAGCAAUUUCAUUGAUGCACUUCCUGUAUGAAAUUGCAGGAGGUUAAGACUGAACAAUGGCAGGAUUCGGUGGUUACGGAGGUGGUGACGGUGCCGGAAGUGGAACGAAGGUUUUGAAUGGUGGCUUUGACAAGGUCGGUGGUGGAGUGGUGUGAUUCGCCGUAAAUUCGAACGUUUGUAUGAAGAUCAUGGUGUGAUUAAGCAUGAACUCAUCAACUGUUGAUGACCAAUUUCUAUUUGAGCAAUUAUUAUAAAUAUGAUACUGCAUCUUUUGGUGGAUUAGAGGAGGGGUCACCGUGGUGCACAUCGGCCAUGACAGGAACCUUCGACAUUGAUUAUGAAUGGUAGUGUCUUCCUCUUAUUUGGAGUUAUCUUUUUGACUGGUUGGGUUGCAAAUGUGAAGCUAUACAUAUGAGAGUUGUUGUCAAAGGGUUCAGCUGAAGUUGUCUACAAUAGAAGAAGUGAUGCAUUUACUGCUCUUAAACGAUAUAACAAUGUGCUUUUGGAUGGAAAGCCCAUGAAGAUUGAGAUUGUUGGAACAAAUUCAGAAUUGCCUGUAACUGCACGAGCGAAUGUCUCUGCAAUGAAUAGGCAGAGGAAGAGGACUUUUGUAAUGACAAUUAAUUAGUUUGGUGAGCAUCAGUAUCUCUUAUAUGGUCUUUAAAUUGGGUUCUCAUGGUAAUGUGGUGGUGCUAUCAAGUUGUGUUGUCUUCAAGUCAUCCAAAGGUGUUGGUUGAGAUUUUGGUGAUGUAUCAAGGUACUGCUCUGCAUCUGCGUUUGGGGUAGCAGAGUUUGUGGUUACUAUUGGAUUGAUUUGUAGUGUUACAAGGUUGGAUUGCUUGCAAUCUGUCCAAUUUUUUUUCAGCUUCUAGCUUAGCUUUGGUUCUAGUUAUGAAGACCGA